rnacentral:rRNA from 1 species
ACGUAGGUGGCGAGCGUUAUCCGGAAUGAUUGGGCGUAAAGGGUGCGUAGGUGGCGCGGUAAGUCUGAAGUAAAAGGCAUCAGCUCAACUGAUGUUGGCUUUGGAAACUGCCGGGCUAGAGUGCAGAAGAGGGCGAUGGAACUCCAUGUGUAGCGGUAAAAUGCGUAGAUAUAUGGAAGAACACCAGUGGCGAAGGCGGUCGCCUGGUCUGCAACUGACACUGAAGCACGAAAGCGUGGGGAGCAAAUAGG